CCCGGACGUCACGGAGGAGCCGAGGCGGCGGUGGCGGCCCAGGACUCAGGCUGCACUUGCAUCAUGGGUGCAGCAGCAGCUGCCCCGCUCCUUUGUGCCUUUUUCCCCCUAUUGAGUAACUGCUUUGUUAACCGAAAAUACCAUGACGGACCAGUGUGAUCACCAGUUCCAGACCUCAAAGAAAGUGAAGCUGUCAGGCAAGAAGAGGGAGACUUCCCCCAGCCGGCUGUGAUGGGCUUGAGUUUGAGCCGGGGCCUCAUGCACACUAGGAGAGCCCCCUACCACUGAGCUACACCCCCGGUCCUCCACCAGCCUCUUCACUGGCCUCGUUAGCCUCACCAGACCAUUUUACACAACCCUGUGUAUCUCUGAUCUAUCUUCAGAUACGUGCUGCUAAAGUUUCAACAGUUUGUAGAGGUUUUUGGAAGCACCUACCCCAAGACAGAUGCAUGGAUACUAAAAACUGUGUUGGUUGCACAUAAUCUGAAGAAUUGGUUAUGCAUUCUGUAACAUCCAUUAGCUACUCUAUGAUUGAGCCAUCUUCCCUCUAAUCCCCUCAAGUUUCCCUUUCUGGAUCUGUGAAUAGAAAUAUCUGAGUCUCCCAGGACGUUUUCAAUGAGCAACACUGUGAUGUUCUGCAGCACUGACUUAGAGGACCUGUCUGGAUUUCUUGCUGGAGCCAGAGCAGAAUAAGGCUCUGGGAUGGCAUUUCGGGCAUUUCUCCUGUCUUUCUUCUCUGAGAUGCCCGGCAUCUUUGGAGACAGUUCCCAUAUACAGGGAAGAACCAUGUGAAGAUGUUCCCGGAUCAGUUCUUCAUUUCAGCAGGUGGUCCUCUCUGGAGGAAUAGUGUAAUCCAUUCACAGGGCCUUCAGUGAAUGCUCUCUCUACUCAGCCACCAGUUCAGGCACGUCAUCUAGCACAUGGCUGUCAGAGAGAACUUCCAUACAAGACUCCUUUGCUCUUCCCUUAUCGAUUACCCACCUGAGCUGGAAGGAGAGGGUUUCCACUCAUGAUGCUGUAAGAUCAAUCUUCUAAAGACUCAAGAACAAUAACCAGUUGCUGGAAGGAAGAGUGUUCCGGCCUGCUACACAGACAUAUUGACACAUAUGCGAGGAGACUGGAGCCCAAAGGAAAGUGAGAGCAAAAUCUGGCAAGAUUUGAGAGAAGAGGAAGACUAAAUUGCAGGAAAGGGGAAAGCUUUGUAUUUUCCUUAAAAGAUAGUAAAAUUGCCCAGCAGUGGUGGCAAAUAUCAUCAAUCCCAGCACUCAGGAGGCAGAGACAGGUAGAUCUCUGAGUUCAAAUCCAGCCUGGUCUACAGAGCUAGUUCCAGGACAGCUAAGGCUACACAGAAAAACCCUGCCUGGAAAAUAAAAACAAAUGAACAAAAAGUAAUAAAAUUAGGGCACACAGAAAUAUAGGGAAGGAAAAAUAUUACUGUCAGGUAGAAAGUAUAUUUGGCUUGCAAUUAACUGAAUUUUGGUUCAAUUUUCUCUAAUUCCUAGUUUCAUCUGUAAAAUGUAGGAUACUAAUAGCAAAACUUUGCUUCAGGAUUUUUUACGGUUAAAAAGGAUUAGUUACAUGCAAAUUCUCUGGCCAGCCCCUGGGUUGCCAAGCCUGUGUAGAAGACAUUGGAGACAACACCAAGCUGUGUGCUGAAGACUUGUCCUGCUCCUAUUAUUUGUUAAUUGUCUGGGAAAGUCUUAAAAAAUUGCUCAACCUUAGUUACUUCUUCUGUAAAAUAGGGACAAUUAUCACAGCAAUUUUAUAGGAACCAUUUAAAGAAGAAACAAGCUAGUUCAUAUAGAGUAAAAUAUUUGGUGCCGAAGUUCCUGCUGUUGAAUGACCACUGCAGAUGGCCAAGGAUUGACAGAGCUGCUGCUCUUGCAGGGACCCAGGAUUUGGUUCCUAAUAUCCAUAACAGCAAGUGUUCACAAUUGCCUGUAACUCUACUUCCAGGGGACACUGAGCUGUCUUCUGCCUCUGAGAACACUUGCACAAUACACUGGAAAUAAAAUGGAAAUAAUUAAAAAUAGUA